rnacentral:tRNA from 1 species
GGGGUUGUGGCUCAGUGGUAGAGUGCUUGCCUCACAUGUGUGAGGCACUGGGUUCAAUCCCCAGCACCA